UACGUAGGUGACAAGCGUUGUCCGGAUUUACUGGGCGUAAAGAGCGCGCAGGCGGUCGUCAAGUCGAGUGUGAAAGCCCCCGGCUCAACUGGGGAGGGUCAUUCGAUACUGAUCGACUCGAAGGCAGGAGAGGGUAGUGGAAUUUCCGGUGUAGUGGUGAAAUGCGUAGAUAUCGGGAGGAACACCAGUGGCGAAGGCGACUACCUGGCCUGUUCUUGACGCUGAGGCGCG
rnacentral:rRNA from 1 species